AACUGUGCUUGCUCUUGGUAUGAGCUUUCGUGUGCACACACACUUCUUCAGGUAUCUAAAGAAGUGUGCAUGCACAUGAAAGCUCAUACCAAGAACAAAUUUAGGUGG
rnacentral:miRNA from 1 species